CGGACGGGUGAGUAACACGUGGAUAACCUACCUAUAAGACUGGGAUAACUUCGGGAAACCGGAGCUAAUACCGGAUAAUAUAUUGAACCGCAUGGUUCAAUAGUGAAAGACGGUUUUGCUGUCACUUAUAGAUGGAUCCGCGCUGCAUUAGCUAGUUGGUAAGGUAACGGCUUACCAAGGCAACGAUGCGUAGCCGACCUGAGAGGGUGAUCGGCCACACUGGAACUGAGACACGGUCCAGACUCCUACGGGAGGCAGCAGUA
rnacentral:rRNA from 1 species